rnacentral:sRNA from 1 species
AUGAAAGUACAUGUGUUUGGCAACACCCCUUCAGCUGCUGUAGCGACAUAUUGUUUACGUGAAGCUGUUUCAGAAGCUGAUACUGAUGUGCGUUCCUUUGUUACGAAUGAUUUUUAUGUAGAUGAUGGUCUGAUCUCUUUUGAAGACAAGGAUGAUGCAAUUGACCUUAUGCAAAGAACACAAAAAGCUCUCAAGGAUAAUGGGAACAUACGAUUACACAAAAUAAUUUCAAACGAUAUCGAUGUGAUGAAAGCUUUUCCUUUAGAGGAUUUAGGAAAAGAGUUAAAAGAUUUGGAUUUGUGCUCAGACACUUUGCCUGUUCAGCAUAGUUUAGGUUUGUCGUGGAAUUUACAGACAGACAUGUUUAUCUUUCGUGUUAAUGAUGAUGAAAAACCAAUCACCCGUAGAGGCAUACUUUCAAAUAUUAACAGUUUGUUUGAUCCGUUGGGUUUUAUUACGCCGCUAGUCAUCAGUGGAAAAAUUUUACUUCGAGAAGUUGUUCCACCAGGAACUGAUUGGGAUGAUCCGCUGUCUACUGAUCAUGAAACAAAAUGGAAAAACUGGUUGAAGUCUUUGAAAUCUUUUAGUUGUUUUCAAAUACCUCGUAUGAUUGUUCCGGUAUCUAUUUCUUUAACACGCCAAGUUGAUAUCCACAUUUUCUCUGAUGCUUCAGAACAAGCAAUCUCUGCUGUAGCUUACCUGGAGGCAAUCGAUGAAACUGGUUCAGCAUGUAUAGGUUUUCUUACUGGAAAGUCGAAACUUGCACCUAUCAAAAGUCAUACUAUUCCUAGAUUGAAACUAUGCGGUGCCGUGCUGGCUACGGAAGUUGGAGAAGCGAUAUGUCAUCAUAUGAAUCUGUCUCCGAGUGUUUGUCAUUACUAUACAGACAGUCGAGUAGUCUUAGGAUAUAUAUGUAAUACCGUCCGUCGAUUCUUCACAUAUGUCAGUAAUCGUGUAGAAAAGAUUCAUACAGUGUCGGAACCUUCACAGUGGUCAUAUGUAUUCUUUAGUUUUCUAUGUUGUGUCAUGUGUACUAUUGUUUUUCUGUUUGUCUUUUUCAUUUUUAUCCAUGGCAUUGUCAGUUUGUUUGAGAUUUAUGAGUUUGACUGUCCCUUUGGUAUCUUUCGUCCCUCUUUCAACGGAUAGGAACCCAGCUGACUUAGGGACUAGAUUUAUUAGCUGUCCAGACAUGCAAAUUAUUAGUUCUUGGAUUAACGGACCGAAAUGGUUAUUAAACAAGGAACUUUUAAUAUUGUAUCUUUUCCGUUGUUAUCACCACAUGUUGAUAAGGAAAUUCGUCCAGAAAUUGUUUCACGUAAAACACAAAUCGACAGUCUACAGAUUGACUCUCAACGAUACAGCAAGUUUUCUAGUUGGCGAUUUCUCGUCAGAUCAUUAUCACUCCUGAGACACAUAGCUAAGACUUUAAGUACUACAACAACAUCUCGUUGCAAUGGUUGGCAUAUUUGCGUUGAAAAGGACACUCCAGAUUUUAUCAAGGGAACCGAGACAUUGAUCAUUAGACAAGUACAAAAGGAAUUCUUUGAACACGAGAUAGAUUCUUUAAAUACUGACCAGCAUGUUCCCAAAAAUAGUGCUAUUUUAAAACUUGACCCAAUACUGGAUGAACAUGGUAGUAUGCGAGUAGGAGGUAGAUUGAAUCGCUCUACAUUGACACUUGGUGAAAAGAAUCCGAUUUUAAUUCCUGGUAAACACCAUAUUGCAAGAUUACUAGUGUUACAUUACGAACAAGUCCACCACCAGGGACGUCAUAUAACCGAAGGCGCAAUCAGGUGUGCUGGUUACUGGAUUACCGGUAUCAAGCGUUUGAUAUACUCAAUUAUUUCAAGUUGCGUUUUAUGUCGAAGGUUUAGAGGUACUUUUUCGUCUCAAAAAAUGGCUGAUCUUCCAGAAGAAAGACUUUUAGCAUGCCCACCCUUUACAUAUGUUGGCUUUGAUUGUUUUGGACCCUGGAACAUUGUUACAAGACGUACUCGCGGUGGAAGCGCAAAUUCAAAACGAUGGGCUGUCUUAUUUGUCUGUUUUUCAUGUCGAAGUGUUCAUAUUAAAAUAAUUGAAGAGAUGACUACCGCAUCAUUUAUAAAUUCACUUCGCCGCUUCAUAUCAAUCAGAGGAUAUGUUAAAGAAUUCUUUUCUGAUAGAGGAACCAACUUUAUCGGCGGAGCCCGAGAGCUUGGCAUAGAAGCUUCUUUUGUUGAGGACUCAGUGUUUCAAUCCUUUAUGAAAGAACAAAAAACUGUGUGGAAAUUCAAUACACCGUAUUCAUCCCACAUGGGAGGUGCAUGGGAACGUUUCAUUGGCAUAGUAAGGCGUAUAUUGGACUCAAUAUUGUUUGAAGCUAGACAUCAACGAAUCACACAGGAAGUCUUGUGUACUUUCAUGGCAGAAACAACAGCUAUUAUGAACUCUCGUCCGUUAGUGCCUAUUUCAUCCGAUCCUAACGCACCAUCUAUCUUAUCUCCAAGUACUUUGCUAACACAGAAAGUGAGUGACAAUAUUGAGGACUUCAGCCAUUUGAACACGCGCGAUGUUUACACAAAUCAGUGGAAAUUUGUUCAGGUGUUAGCUGACAAAUUUUGGACACGUUGGAAACAAGAAUAUUUGCAGUCGUUACAAACUCGUCGCAAGUGGCAACACAUCAAACAAAACAUUCAAGAAGGUUAUGUAGUGCUUCUUAAAGACAAUGAACUCCAUCGAAAUAACUGGCCAAUAGGUCUUGUUGAACGUGUUUUCCAGGUAGAGACAGUUUGGUCCGUAAAGUUCAGUUGA